GAAAACUCUUGCAUGGAUCCAUUUUGCAUUCAUUGUUUUAUUAACGUUUUAUUAAAUUUUCACACAUUUUCAAAAAGGUAAACAAAGUCAAACGGCUUCCUGAGAAGUGUAACCUUACGGAAUGCGGGUUUCACCUUUGGUCACACUCUGCCAUUAGAAAAAUAUAUUGCACUGUUUGCUAGCAACAAAUAGGGUAUAUUGUAUUUGUGGGGAAUAACGGAUGUUUUUAAAGCACAGAAGGAAGCGUGUCCGACCCCAUAAAGUAUAAAUCAAUAGCCGAGUCGAUUGAGCCAUGUCUGUCUGUCCGUCCUGAUGAGCGCUUAGUACUCAGGGACUAUAAGAGCUAGAGCCACCAAAUUUUGCAUCCAGACUCUCUAUGUAUUUCAAAAAUGAGCCCCUCCACCGCUAAAGGGCGAAAACCUCCCAAAGCUACAAUUUUGAAGAUAAAAGAAAACUAAAACUCCAUUCCGUAGGGAUCGCCAAAUUGGGAUCCGAUUGGAUCAUUAUUAUAGCCACAUUGAAGAAAUUAUAUUGCAGUGGCUAAACCCACCCGUCCCGCAACUUAUAUAUGUGUUUUGCACAUUCUCUCAUUCACACUCUGCUUCGCGCAGUGUGCGGCUUCUGCCUAGGCCUCUGCAGCGUUUCUGCCUCUGCCGUGACUAUGCAGUGUGUGUCUCUAGGGCAGGGUGGCCAGCUAAAAGAGUGUGUUGGCGUGAGAAGUGUUGUAGAUGUCGAUGGCAGAUGAAGAAAAUAUGUAAAAUUGGACAAAAACCCGCUAAGGUACCGAUGUAGUACGGAGUACCGCGUAUAAAGGUUGUGACUCGUAAGAAGCGUCUCACAUGUCCCUUCUCCUUAUUCAAUAUAGUUAACCUACCCAAUGGGAAGAGAAGCAAGCCCAUACCAUUAAAUUGGACCAUUUAUUUUUAAUGGUUUUCUUUGGUGUACUGGCGUUCCUUGGACGUCUUAAGUAUGGUCGAGAUCCCUUUUCAGCAAAUAAAACACUUUUUACUCAUCUGUCAUUAAAAUUUUCCUCCAUUGUAGGGAUGUCCAAUUGACAUGCUCCCUUGCAAACAUCAUGUGCUUAGUACUAUGUCUGGCGUUUGAAAGUGCUAGUGUUUUUGGGCAGCAAACUUUUAGGCUAUGUUGUCUAAGAUAUAUCCAAACUUUUUAGCCCGUCGCUUUUAUUUUAAGCUCUUUUUUUAAGCUCGACAGCAGGCUUGGAGAUUGGAACCUUCUUGCUCUCAAGAAUCAGCCUUUUGACCCGAAAAGGGGUCAUAGAUCGUUUUCAUCCACGUGUUUCACACUUUUCUUCAUAUUUAAGGAUUUUUAAUCAUUUUAUUGAAACUACCAAUUGACCAACAAUUUUCUGUAAGUUUUUACGUCAAAUAUCAAUGUUUUGCUAAGGUCGCGCUUCUUCGCAUUUCAGAGCUUUCCACGUCUUAUUGUAAUGAUAAUUAUUAGCUUUUUUGAUAGAAACAAUGAAAUAUUAAUCAAAACUAAUAAAUACGUGGUUUAUACAAAGUCAAUUCAGCGAAAUUACGGAGAUUCACUUAAAAUAGUGCUAAUGGUGCUAUUAUUUUUUUCGCCAUUUUUGUGGUAUUUUUUCUUAAAUUAAAAAAAAUAUAUAUAUACAGACAGAAAUUUGAAGAAAGGCAACACUUUUUAUGUUAAUGGGGAAUACUAAACUAUAUGAAAAACUAUUGAAACGAGAAGGGACAUGUGAAACGGUUUUCACGCGUUACAACUUUUAUACCCGGCACUCAGGACUACAUCUAGAUGUAGAAGACAUCGCCAACAACUAGAUAUCGUUCACAUUACAGAACACGUAGUAAAAAGCCUACUAAAUAAAAUACAUCAAACAAAUUGGAUCAGUUAAUAUUUUCCAAUUGAUGAGAUAUUUAAAACAGCAAUAAAAUUGGUACAUUCUUGGACCGAUAGGUUUCACAGCAAAUUUUUAGAAAGUGGCGCCAUCUUGCGUUGAAAACUGAGUCUUGGUUAAAAGUCGGAAGAGUCAACGCCAGGGGAAGGACAGAGGCAAUGGCCGUGUUAAGCAGAAGCAGAGUGUGAAGGAGAGAAUGUAAAAAGGGCAACAAAAGCUGCGGGACAGGGUGGGUUUAGCCACUGGAAAUUAAUUUCGUCAUUGUGGCUAUAAUAAUGAUCCGAUCGGAUCCCAAUUUGGUGAUCUGAUAGAUAUGGCCAUUUCCUACGGAAUUUUUAGUUUUCUUGUAUCUUCAAAACUGUAGAUUUGUGAUGUUUUCGCCCUUUUGCGGGGGCGGAAGGGGGCGUGGCUCAUUUUUGAACUACACUGGUUUCAGUGUGAGCAUACAGCAGUCCGGAGCCAAAAUUUGGUGGCUUUAGCUCUUAUAGUCUCUGAGAACUAGCCGACAAAAGAGACGGACGGACAGACAGACAUGACUCUAUCGACUCGGCUAUUGAUGCUGAUCAAGAAUAUAUAUAUACUUUAUGGGGUCAGAAACGCUUCCUUCUGUGUAUUUAGAGUCAUGGUGUGAACAAGCACGGAGUUUUGACGGAACGGGACAUGGAUAAAUGUUUGCUGGCAAGGCGGCUGCAAACUGACUUCAAAUUUGAUGCCCAAGCAUGGCACUAAAAUCUGCAAUUAUAUGCAAUUAUUUAUCAUAUACAUACAUGUAUAUAUAUACAUGGACAUUCAUUACAUUUAGUAAUAUUAAU
rnacentral:lncRNA from 1 species